GACGAAGGGGGCUAGCGUUGUUCGGAAUUACUGGGCGUAAAGCGCGUGUAGGCGGUUGCUCAAGUCAGGUGCGAAAGCCUUGAGCUCAACUCAAGAAAUGCACUUGAUACUGGAUGACUAGAGGACCGGAGAGGAUAGUGGAAUUCCCAGUGUAGUGGUGAAAUACGUAGAGAUUGGGAAGAACACCAGUGGCGAAGGCGGCUAUCUGGACGGUUUCUGACGCUAAGACGCGAAAGCGUGGGGAGCAAACAGG
rnacentral:rRNA from 1 species